CCCUUAGAUGUCCUGGGCCGCACGUGCGCUACACUGAGUGUCUGAGAUACGAGUCUGCCUGGUCCGGCAAGGUCUAGGUAAUCGCUAAAAGACACAUCAUGCUUGGGAUAGAUUAUUGCAAAUAUUAAUCUUGAACGAGGAAUUCCUAGUAAGCGCAAGUCAACAGCUUGCGUUGAUUACGUCCCUGCCCUUUGUACACACCGCCCGUCGCUACUACUGAUUGGAUGUUUAAGCGAGGUUCUCGAACUGCUAGCGACUUAGCUUCGGUGAGGUCGCAGUGUGGGAAGUGAACCUAGCUUUGGCGUCUAGAGGAAGUAAAAGUCGUAACA
rnacentral:rRNA from 1 species